rnacentral:rRNA from 1 species
AGCAGCAGCCGCGGGAAUACGAAGGGUGCAAGCGUUAAUCGGAAUUACUGGGCGUAAAGCGUGCGUAGGCGGUUUGUUAAGUCUGUUGUGAAAUCCCCGGGCUCAACCUGGGAAUGGCAAUGGAUACUGGCAAGCUAGAGUGUGUCAGAGGGUGGUGGAAUUCCCGGUGUAGCGGUGAAAUGCGUAGAGAUCGGGAGGAACAUCAGUGGCGAAGGCGGCCAUCUGGGACAACACUGACGCUGAGGCACGAAAGCGUGGGGAGCAAACAGGAUUAGAUACCCCCGUAGUCCCUGUCUCUUAUAC